rnacentral:rRNA from 1 species
CCUACGGGGUGCAGCAGUGGGGAAUAUUGGACAAUGGGGGGAACCCUGAUCCAGCCAUGCCGCGUGUGUGAAUAAGGCCCUCGGGUUGUAAAGCACUUUCAGUGAGGAAGAACGCCUGGUGGUUAAUACCCAUCAGGAAAGACAUCACUCACAGAAGAAGCACCGGCUAACUCCGUGCCAGCAGCCGCGGUAAUACGGAGGGUGCGAGCGUUAAUCGGAAUUACUGGGCGUAAAGCGCGCGUAGGUGGCUUGAUAAGCCGGUUGUGAAAGCCCCGGGCUCAACCUGGGAACGGCAUCCGGAACUGUCAAGCUAGAGUGCAGGAGAGGAAGGUAGAAUUCCCGGUGUAGCGGUGAAAUGCGUAGAGAUCGGGAGGAAUACCAGUGGCGAAGGCGGCCUUCUGGACUGACACUGACACUGAGGUGCGAAAGCGUGGGUAGCAAACAGGAUUAGAUACCCUAGUAGUC